GACGUACGCUGGCGGCGUGCCUAAUACAUGCAAGUCGAGCGCAGGAAAUCGACGGAACCCUUCGGGGGGAAGUCGACGGAAUGAGCGGCGGACGGGUGAGUAACACGUAAAGAACCUGCCCUCAGGUCUGGGAUAACCACGAGAAAUCGGGGCUAAUACCGGAUGGGUCAUCGGACCGCAUGGUCCGAGGAUGAAAGGCGCUCCGGCGUCGCCUGGGGAUGGCGUUGCGGUGAAUUAGCUAGUUGGUGGGGUAAUGGCCCACCAAGGCGACGAUGCAUAGCCGACCUGAGAGGGUGAUCGGCCACACUGGGACUGAGACACGGACCAGACUCCUACGGGAGGCAGCAGUAGGGAAUCUUCCACAAUGGACGAAAGUCUGAUGGAGCAACGCCGCGUGAACGAUGAAGGCCUUCGGGUCGUAAAGUUCUGUUGUAAGGGAAGAACAAGUGCCGCAGGCAAUGGCGGCACCUUGACGGUACCUUGCGAGAAAGCCACGGCUAACUACGUGCCAGCCGCCGCAGUAAGAC
rnacentral:rRNA from 1 species